GGAAGGAUCAUUACCGAUUCUCAUACCUCAAUCACUGUGCACUCGGUCGCUGCUCGCAGCGUCUCCUUUCGGGGUUGGCCGACUCGUCGGCCAUUAAAUCGGUUCGUGCCGGGCCCCGAUUGGAGCGCUUGUGUGCAGCGGUUUUUCACGGCUUCGCGCCAUCUUUUUGGCGCCGAGCGUUCGUGAAACCCUUUUUCAACCUUGCAACUUUGUAGACUGUACUGUCGGGCUUUCUGACGAAAGCUUGUCUUGAUUCUGAAUCAUGGACAACUUUCAACGGUGGAUCUCUUGGCUCGUGGAUCGAUGAAGAACGCAGCAAAACGCGAUAUGUAGUGUGAAUUGCAGAAUUCAGUGAAUCAUCGAAUCUUUGAACGCAAAUGGCGCCCCUGGGUAUUCCCAGGAGCAUGUCUGUCUCAGCGUCGUUUUCACCUCGAGCGCGCUCCGGCGCGGUUGCCAUGAGGCGUCUGGGAAGCCCAAUGGUUGCUCCCAGUCCCUUGAAAUGCAGUGGCCGGACAGUUGCGUGCUUUUCGGGUCGGUUCGUCCCGGAUUCGCUCGCACGGCUGAUGGCGAGAUUCCUCGUAAUCUCCCUUGUCGUGUCGCAGCGGCCGGGUGGAGCCUGUCUCCGAGCUUGAGCCCCUGUCCGAAUCAAGCCAGAAUUUGGAAAACUUCGCGCUUUUCCUUGUCUCUAGGAAAAACACCUUCGACCUGAGAUC
rnacentral:rRNA from 1 species